GUCGGGUGCGGUGGUGCACACCUGUAAUCCCAGUGGUUCGGGAGGCCGAGGCAGGAGGAUCGCGAGUUCAAAGCCAGCCUCAGCAAAAGCAAGGUGCUAAGCAACCCAGUGAGACCCUGUCUCUA
rnacentral:sRNA from 1 species